GUGAAUCCCUUGGCUUAACCAAGGAAGGGCAUUUGAAACUGCCUGGCUUGAGUACGGGAGGGGGAAGCGGAAUUCCCGGUGUAGAGGUGAAAUUCGUAGAUAUCGGGAGGAACACCGGUGGCGAAGGCGGCUUUCUGGACCGAUACUGACGCUGAGACGCGAAAGCGUGGGUAGCAAACAGGAUUAGAUACCCUGGUAGUCCACGCCGUAAACGAUGAGUACUAGGUGUUGCGGGUAUUGACCCCUGCAGUGCCAAGGGCGAAUUCCACAGUGGAUA
rnacentral:rRNA from 1 species